GACGAACGCUGGCGGCGUGCCUAACACAUGCAAGUCGAGCGGGAUCCAUCCAGUGGCAACACUGGGGAAGAUCUAGCGGCGAACGGGUGAGUAACACGUGAGAAACUUGCCCCGGAGUUCGGGAUAACUCGAGGAAACUCGAGCUAAUACCGAAUGCCCUCUUCUGAUCGCAUGGUCGGAUGAGGAAAGAUUCAUCGCUCCGGGAGAGUCUCGCGGCCUAUCAGCUAGUUGGCGGGGUAACGGCCCACCAAGGCAUCGACGGGUAGCUGGUCUGAGAGGACGAUCAGCCACACUGGGACUGAGACACGGCCCAGACUCCUACGGGAGGCAGCAGUGGGGAAUCUUGCGCAAUGGGCGAAAGCCUGACGCAGCAACGCCGCGUGCGGGAUGAAGGCCUUCGGGUUGUAAACCGCUUUCAGCAGGGAAGAAAUUGACGGUACCUGCAGAAGAAGCCCCGGCCAACUACGUGCCAGCCGCCGCCGCGG
rnacentral:rRNA from 1 species